AUUGAACGCUGGCGGCAGGCCUAACACAUGCAAGUCGAGCGAGCGGCGGACGGGUGAGUAAUGUCUGGGAAACUGCCUGCUGGAGGGGGAUAACUACUGGAAACGGUAGCUAAUACCGCAUACCAUCAGAUGUGCCCAGAUGGGUUUCGAGAGUAGGUGGGGUAAUGGCUCACCUAGGCGACGAUCCCUAGCUGGUCUGAGAGGAUGACCAGCCACACUGGAACGUAGACACGGUCCAGACUCCUACGUGAGGCAUCAGUGGGGAAUAUUGCACAUUGGGCGCAAGCCUGAUGCAGCCAUGCCGCGUGUAUGAAGAAGGCCUUCGGGUUGUAAAGUACUUUCAGCGAGGAGGCGUUACUCGCAGAAGAAGCACCGGCUAACUCCGUGCCAGCAGCCGCGGUAAUAC
rnacentral:rRNA from 1 species